rnacentral:rRNA from 1 species
CUACGGGUUGCACCAGUAAGGAAUAUUGCGCAAUGGAGGCAACUCUGACGCAGCCAUGCCGCGUGCAGGAAGAAGGCCUUAUGGGUCGUAAACUGCUUUUAUUUAGGAAUAAACCCCCGAACGUGUUCGGGGCUGAAGGUACUAAACGAAUAAGCACCGGCUAACUCCGUGCCAGCGGCCGCGGUAAUACGGAGGGUGCAAGCGUUAUCCGGAUUUAUUGGGUUUAAAGGGUGCGCAGGCGGGCUAUUAAGUCAGUGGUGAAAUCCCGGGGCUCAACUCCGGAACUGCCAUUGAUACUGAUAAUCUAGAGUUUGGUUGAAGUGGGCGGAAUGUAGCAUGUAGCGGUGAAAUGCAUAGAUAUGCUACAGAACACCAAUCGCGAAGGCAGCUCACUAAGCCAAAACUGACGCUCAUGCACGAAAGCGUGGGGAUCAAACAGGAUUAGAUACCCCAGUAGUC